GACAGAGGGUGCAAACGUUGUUCGGAAUUACUGGGCGUAAAGCGUGUGUAGGCGGUUUCGCAAGUCGGAUGUGAAAGCCCCGGGCUCAACCCGGGAAGUGCACUCGAUACUGCGGAACUUGAGUGUGGGAGAGGUUGGUGGAAUUCUCGGUGUAGAGGUGAAAUUCGUAGAUAUCGAGAGGAACACCGGCGGCGAAGGCGGCCAACGUGGACCACUACUGACGCUGAGACACGAAAGCGUGAGGAGCAAACAGG
rnacentral:rRNA from 1 species